GGUGGAGAACAGAAGCUGCAACUCACCUUCUUAGAAAAGAUGCUAUCUGGAAAACAUCUACCUGAGAAGAAGAAGCAGCAGUAGAACCCUGAGAUUACCCUGGCAAUGGCUACUAUAGCAACCCAGCCAACGAAGAAGGCAACAGCUUUUAGGAUAGCAGCGGCUUCUGUAUCUGUCACCAGAGGGCAGCUUUCACCUCAGGAGCUUCCCCGAGAUUGAGCGGUCACCUCAACUAGCCAUAAGACAGAGCAGAAGGACCCUUAGACGUAACAGAGGGGAUCUAAGAAGGAGUAUGGAAAGAGUGUUUUCCCCCCACCCAUCCAGAAGGACUAUCAAAAUCAGAUGGGCCAUCAAGGAACAUCGCUAUAUCAAGAAUUGGUGACUGGCCGUAUCACACCUUGGAAAUGCUACAUGUCAGGAAGCUCAUCCUAUGGAAGGAAAUAAAACAAAGACACAGGAAAAUUUUCCUUCUCUCUGCUGUUUGAAUUCUCACAGGGCCAGAGACUCUAAACUGAGGCAGAGAUCCCUAGAGGUUACCCUCUGGUCUGCCUUGAAAGACAUCUUGAUUUGACAGAUUACCACAUUACUGUCAUCUUUCGGAAUCAUCGAUAGCAACUCAUUCGGAGGUUCCAUUGCAGAGAAACCUGCCUAACCUCAGACCUGCCUCCAUAAUCUCAGGAUUUUUAUUGGUGCCAUGGUUGUUGGUGGACGAUGGACCCUGCAGUUCAGCUCCUUUCAAAAAGGCUUUGAUCUGUUCAACAGAUUUGUGGUAUAUGUAGCAGAUUUUGUUCCCACAACCAAAUAGAAUUUUUUGGGCAUACUUCAAACUCCUGUGUUUCUUGAACUACAUUGUUUUCAGGUAAAGACAAUAUUUGAUUGUUUCUAAUUUGUUCACAAAAUGUUUUAACAUGAACUAUAUGAGAAUUUCUUAUAUUUCUGUGCAGUGUCUUCUCUGCAUUAUCAGUGAUGAAAUUAAAGCAGAUCCACUGUUUAAAAUAAAAAUGUUUACUAAUUUCUUUUUUUAAAAGUACAGUAAUUACCUACAUUUAAUAUUUUAAGUAUAUUCCCAAUACAACAAUGCCCAGAAUAAUCUGUAUACCUGUCCUCACCCUACCACUGCCUUUUCCCGGAAAUUGAAUGUAAAUCCCAUAUAGUUUUAAUAUAUCUUUUGCUAUAGGAUCUGAUGGUAUUAGAGUCCAAAUACUUAACUGUUACAGCAAGCACUAUUGCACUCCCUCAUGCUUACAUUUUAAAUCUCUCUUUGACCCAUGACCAUAUUCCAAAUAAAUGAAACAUGCCUUGAUUUUUCCCAUCCAGAAGACAGACGAUAACAUGUCUGUUUCAGACUAUAGGCGUGUUACUCUUCAGCAAGUCAUUUCUAAAGAUAUGGAACAAGUACUUCAGUCUUUAAGUUUAAUAUUACCCUUUCAUAUUUUGAUCAAUUUACAGUCUUUCUUUGUAAUCAGUUUGGUUUCUUCCCAAGCCCAGUACAGGGGAUGCUUUAUUGCCAAAUCUGUGUCUUUGGUAUGAUGUUCUGGAUAAGGGUUAUAUCAAAGACAACAGUUCUUGAUCUGUCUAGAGCGUCUCACACAGCCCCUUUGUUUAAACAAAUAUAUAUAUGGUAAAUAUACCUUAACAAAGCAACUCUCUAGUUAUCUGCAUUCAAGGUCACAAAGUAUUGUUAAAGGUGUUUCAAACAACAAGGACCCUUUGUCAUCUAGAAUUCCUCUAUAGAAUGUUCUUGGCUGGAAUCUAUUUUUAUAUAUAUAUAUAUUAAUAAUAUAAUCUCUUAGCAGCUCUCAAUAAAUAGUAGGCUAAUUUGCAUUAGUGAAGACACAACACUUUAUAAGUCAGUGUUUAAUUCAACUGAUCUUUCUGAUUUCCAGUCUGAUGUAGAAGUAACAUUAGAAUAUAGCUGGUUCCAAUAGCAUUUAUAGACACAGUAACACAAAUACCAUUCUGAAUUAAGAGUUAACAUUUGAAAGUCAGUAACUGAAGAAAAGACUUAAAUACAUAGCAUUUAAAAAGGAAUACUCAUUACUAUGGGCCAGAUACUGCCAUCCAAGUGGCAUUCCAAUGGGACUAACUGUGGAAUAAUGUGCUAUUCAAUACAAGUAAAGGUAGCAGAAUCUGGCUCCUUUGGUUGAAAGAAAAUUUAAUUUGUCAUAAAGAUACAAACAUUAGGAUAAAGAGUGGAAUGACAGUUUCUUAAAGAUGCAUGUCAAGGUCACAGGGCACCUCUGGUUUCUCUGAAUGCACCCCAUUAGGUUUCAGGCCUCGGGCCUUUGGCUUUUCUGGGAUGGAAUUCUACAAUUUUCCCCCUCCUAGACCAGGCCAUAGACUAGAGUACCUUGUUGUUGGCUGACUCAUAAACUCAGAUUUCUAGGUCAGAAGGGACCAUCAUGAUCAUCUAGUCUGACCUCCUACACAUUGCAAGCCACAGAACCUC